rnacentral:tRNA from 1 species
AUAUUUUAAAGUAAGGCUACUUUCUUAAUAUCUUCAAUAUUAUGCUUUAAAUAAGCUAUUAAAAUA